UUGUAACUAAUUAUGUCUGCUGCUGGAAAUGUGGACUUCUGUUUCUAUGGAUGCUGGAAUAGGAAGAAUGCUGUAACGCUUCUGAUUUGCACACUUACUACUGCUCUACAAGAUGGAGCACCUGAAAUUAUCCAGCUGUGAGGAGGUAAAUACUGCAGGCUAAGGUGGAGAUCUCCGCACCAGUCAUUGAGACUCUCCUUCCCAUUCGGAGUUCGGCAAAUUAACUCUAAAGAAGGCAAAUGAUAUCCUUACAUCGACUGUCAGAAGGAGAGCACUGGCUGAGAAAGACAGGGGUUUAAGAACUUCAGAGGGUGAGAGUAAAGCCAACGACUUGCAUGGAACAAAGCUAGGAAUGAACUCAAAAGCCACAUGCCACACAAUUCAGCCUAUCAGCAUGAUUACAACAUCAGAAAAGCCCCAUCUGUGGGCAACUGUUCCUUCAGAAUUAGAACUCCCAAGAGGAAGCUAAGAAGUUUCAGCAAACCCCACCCAGUGCAUGUCAGCAACAUUUCUGCAACUCUCAUAAGAACUACCAUCUGAGCAACAGUGAGGAAUCAGAAGUGAACAUCAAGCUGCACUCUGAGCACCUAACAAACAUCGCAGGAAUUUUCAAAGCUCUUUAAAAAAAAAUGCAAGAAGGAAACCCAUCUCGAUGCAAUUUACCAUAUAUGACUGCUUAACUUGGCCAACAUCAUUAAAAUAAGCCAAUCUCAA